rnacentral:tRNA from 1 species
AGUUUUGUAGUAUAGAACUAAUACUGUAAACUGCAACUUUACCUACGCCAAAAAGCCAAAACUU